rnacentral:rRNA from 1 species
UACCGAGGGUAGCGAGCGUUAAGUCGGAAUACUAGGGGCGUAAGCGCAUGCAGGUGGUUGUUAAGUCAGAUGUGAAAGCCCGGGGCUCAACCUCGGAAUAGCAUUUGAAACUGGCAAGCUAGAGUACUGUAGAGGGGGGUAGAAUUUCAGGUGUAGCGGUGAAAUGCGUAGAGAUCUGAAGGAAUACCGGUAGGCAAAGGCGGCCCCCUGGACAGAUACUGACACUCAGAUGCGAAAGCGUGGGGAGCAAACAGGAUUAGAUACCCGUGUAGU